ensembl:rRNA 5S_rRNA 5S ribosomal RNA
GACUGCCUGCAUACCACCCUGAACGCACCAGAUCUCGUCUGAUCUUGGAAGCUAAGCAGGGUCGGGCCUGGGUAGUACUUGGACAGGAGGUCC